AAGAGUUGCAAAACUCCCAAACCAUUGUGAACAUACCUUCAACGUUGCUUCGGCGGGUUGGCCCCGGUCUCCGGGGUCCCCGGCCCUACUCGGGCGCCCGCCGGAGGUAUCUAACUCUUGAACUUUUAUGGCCUCUCUGAGUAACUUAUACAAUAAGUCA
rnacentral:misc_RNA from 1 species